UGCACUGAGGUCAAGUCUGCCGGAAAUCUGUUUUGUGUCAAAUGAGUUCUAACUCAAUUUUGUUUCUUCAUCAUCUAUCUUAGUUUGUUUUCAAACUUGAGUACCAUUUUGACAGAACAUUUAGACUGUUAUAGUAUAAAUAUAUUAUAGUAUAAAUAUCUAUAUCUUGUAAUAGGUACUUGAGUGUAUAGAUAAGUACUUGAGUGUAUAGAUAAGUACUUGAGUGUGUAAAUAUAGGUAUGAAGACUUGUGUGGAAUAAAGUAUAUGGGGAAGCAACAAGCAUGGCAGCUAAGCAACAAGCAUGGCAGCUCUCAUAAUUGCAGCAACCAUGUGGAGUUGCAGCUAUGAUCAUUGAAGCCAUUAUAAUGGACUUCUUACCAUUGCAUUCACACUACAAUGUAUUUCUAUAAAUACCAUAUUUUGUGAGAAAAAUAAAUAUCUCUUCCUUCAUCCAUUUCAUCUUCUUUGUCUCUCCAUUUCCUCUCCAUUUUCCUUUUUAUUCUCUAGUCUUCUAGUUCUGCAUUUUCAAGGAAAGAGGAGAAGAAGAAGAAGCCAUGCAAUACAUCAAUUUCCUAGCCGUCAUCCACCCUUGUGUCGUCCCUAGAAGAUUGCUUGCUUUCAAGGAUCUUCAAGUUCUUCGUCUCAAGGCUUUAUCAUUCAUCUUUCAAGGUGUAUUAUAUCCUUUCUCUUGUUUUCUUUGUUUGAUUUUGUAAGACUAUGAAUUCUAGUUAACAAAUAAUGUUAAGGGCAAAGUUUAAAGCCCGUUUAUAUGUUUUGAAAUAAAGUUGUGAUUUCUAUA